rnacentral:sRNA from 1 species
AUUUUCACCGCCACGCCGCGCCCGGUCUCAAAUCCCGCCUCUUUCAGCCAGUCGCCUUUAAGGUGCAGGCUGGGGUGAUAUGAAUAGUAUCUGGCCAUGCCCGUUUUACGGUCUUCGUGACGGGUACU